rnacentral:lncRNA from 1 species
AGCGAGGCGGGAAGGAAUUAUGCGGGGGAGGGGAGGGGGCGGGAGAGACUGGCGAGUGAGAGGAGGCCGGGAUGCUGCCUUGGUAGCGCUUGCAAGAGAAGACGCUUCUGCGUUGAGAUGCCAAAGGCGGAGGCGGGAGGUGAGGUGGAGGAUCCUUAUCUGUUCCUUCCUUGCUUGGGGAGGGGGGGAAGGUCAGCUGCUCCAUGCAAUCCCAAGAAGAACUCCAAAGGUGUGUCUGGGGAGAAACGAGGGGCUUCACGAGGCAGGGAGUCCCUUAGGCUCUGUGCUCUAGUCUCUUUCUCCGGGGCCACAACCAAUCAGGUUGGGAGAGUGGAAGAGGAGGAGGCAGUGGCGCUGCACUGAGCAAGAAAUCCUGUUGAAAGCGGAUGAUACCCUGGUGGCUUUGUCAGGGUUGAGCUAAAUGGAGCCGCUUGGCCUGGAGAUCCCCAAAGACAGAUUUUGCACAAGACGUUCAAAUCUUGGAGUGGUCGCUGGAGUUCUCCGAGUUGAGUUUCCAGGGUCUCCCUAUUAACUGGCUCAGAGCUUGGGAAUGCUCAGAUUGGAAGGAAUGCGUGAAAAGAUGUAUUCUCUGCCCCCCAUGUUAGGCGAGAAAAUGCAGAAGCUCGUUCAGGAAAUGCACGGAAUCCAGGAUUUUUACAGAACAAUCCUAAAGUUUGAAUUUUAUGCCUGUGUACGGUGAAGGAACGAUUUUUUCUGUCUCCCCCCACUGUCCUGGAGCGACGCUGCACCAGAUAUCCUGGGUGUUAAAUCUGAAUUGUUUUCAAUGCCUUGGAAACCAUAGGGAGCCACGUGCAGUUUUUUCACCAACAAAGAAGAGGGAAGCUGAAAAAGAGAGAGAUCAUUUGAGCAUCAAGGAAGGAUCCAAACCACAAAAGAGAGAGAGAAUGAAAAAGAUAUCUCCUCCAUUUCCCAAAUCGAGAACAAAGAGAAUGAAAAAGGAUGGAACAGGAGAUAAACCAAAUCAAUGCAUUCAGUGCGGAAAAAGCUUCAGUCGGCGAGGCUCUCUGAAUUCCCAUCUAAGAACCCACACUGGGUAGAAACCUUAUAAAUGCAUGGAGUGUGGAAAGACCUUUACUGAGAAAGGAUCUCUUAAAAUACACCAAAGAACCCAUACAGGGGGAAAACCUUAUAGAUGCAUGGAGUAUGGAAAGAGCUUUGCUCGCAGUGGAUCCCUUAAAAUACACCAAAGAGCCCAUACAGGGGAGAAACCUUAUAAAUGCAUGGAGUGUGCAAAGACCUUUGCUAAGAGUAGUAGUUUUAGCACACACUGCAAGUAUCACACUGGGUGAAAGUGUGACCAUGUAUGGAGUACAGUGAGGUAUACUGCUAGGAUUUUAGAAAUGGAAGCUUGCAGAGNGCGGGAUGAGGGAAGACUUCUAUCAUGCUGUCAGUUUUAUGUACAUGAAAGGACCCUGGAAAAUGUAUAAAUGCAUGAAGUAAAAGUAAAUUGCUAGCAGUUUGUUUCGGUUGUAUCUUUUAGGUUCCGUUUGAGGACUCCCAGCGUUUCUGCUCUGCAGCAAAUACCAGGUCAAGAGUACAUCCUGCAGCAUGUGCAGCAUGGGCCCAUAAGACUUGCAGGGAGACUUGCAGGGAGCCUCCAACACCACAACUGAGACAGCCUCCACUAGUUCAGUCUGGGCUGGUGCUACACAAGAUAUCAUGGGGUGCAGAUCUGGGUAAUCAGGUCCCUGCAUUUAGUGCGGAUCAUAAAUCGUGGGUUUAGUUUUACANGCUUGUAAUUGGAGGGCUGGACCUGAGGAAAGCGGAGGAGGUAGGCAGUUACACUCACAAAUCUAAUAAGACAAUAUCUAUUGGACGAAAUUAUAGAAUGCAAAGAUUCAAAAGUGGGGAAAAUGCUGUAUCUGCAUUGGGGGAAACGCUACACAUGUUCCAGAAUACUGGGAAUAUCUAAAGUAACUCUAUUUUUGUUUUUUUUAUGUAUUGCAUUUCUAAGAAUGUCAGCUAUGACAUAGAGCACAUACCCUUCUUCUNUUGCCUUGUUUUCCACAGUAUGUGCCAGACCAGUAUGACUCCUGUCCUCAAGAGCCUCUCAUUGAAGGCCUUUCACACCUUGGCCCCUAAAUGUCUUCAGGAGCACCUUCUUCUGUUCUGGUCUGUCCAUCGCUUUGUCAGGGGAGGCCAUCUUGGCAAUAGUGUCCCUCCCUCAGGUUGCUGGAGCUAUGGCUUCGAUGGAGAGUCUUCUUUGUGGUGGCCCUCAAACUUUGAAUACUUUUCCGUCAUAGCUAUGGCAGGCAGCUUAAUGGAAACUUUUGACAUUCACCUGGUCUUUUGAUAAUUAAUUCUGCUUGUUAAUUGCCUUCAGAUUUCAAUAUAGGAUGCCAUAAAAGUCCUACUACAAUGAUAAUAAUAAUAGUACCUAAUUGACCCUGUUACAGNAUCUGCCUGGAAUAACUUGGGCCCUUUCUGCGCUUCCCUACGGUAAGUCAGGAUUGGUGUGUCCAGAACACCCUGGGCCAGUGAUCCCGACUGNGGGAAAGUGUGGGCAGGAUCAACACCACAUGCACAAAAUUAGAACAGUGCAAAAGUUGAUUUAAAACAGCUUUAAAUGGUAUAGGGAAUCAGCAAAAGUUUCAAGCAACGUAGUUCAAUAAGUUCACUUUAGCAAGUAUUGAGGGAAAGUAAACCGGGUUUCUAAGUUAAUCAGUAAAUGUUUAGUGAGAGGGGAGGAAAGAAACUUGAAAGGAUUCACAGCACCUAAGGUGGCAUGCAUGAAAGAAUGGAAGGAAAAUUAUUUGCAUGGAAGAGAAGCCCUGCUUUUGAAAUCUAAAUGAAGUAAUUUGGACUUCCUGAAUCAAGCCUAAUUAGUUUGGGUUCCUACAAAGCCACCAUGUUCUUCUGUAAAAGAACAGAGAAAUCCCCCAAGGAUUCAUAGUUGCCUUUUCUGAAACCUGUAAAAUGAAGAAUACAGCCAGAAAUGUAGAAAUUCUGUAAGUCUUGUCCAGCAGCAAGGAGAGAGGAGAAAUUCCCAUGUUCGUUCUUUCUCUGCCUCUGAUUUUUGGGUCUAAACUUCCCUCUUUUAUUCUUGAAAAUCGGCUUGUGGAUGUGCAUUCAGUACCACACCAGGUCAAUUAUUAAGUAUGUGCUUCAUUUAUUCCAAGUAAACAAAAUAAAAGGUGUUGGUGCAAGUGAAACCUUUGCUUG